rnacentral:rRNA from 1 species
AACGCAUUAAGCACUCCNCNUGGGAAGUACGGUCNCAAGNCUNAAACUCAAAGGAAUUGACGGGGGCCCGCACAAGCGGUGGAGCAUGUGNUUUAAUUCGAAGCAACGCGAAGAACCUUACCAGGUCUUGACAUCCUCUGACAACCCUAGAGAUAGGGCUUUCCCUUCGGGGACANAGUGACAGGUGGUGCAUGGUUGUCGUCAGCUCGUGUCGUNANAUGUUGGGUUAAGUCCCGCAACGAGCGCAACCCUUGAUCUUAGUUGCCAGCAUUCAGUUGGGCACUCUAAGGUGACUGCCGGUGACAAACCGGAGGAAGGUGGGGAUGACGUCAAAUCAUCAUGCCCCUUAUGACCUGGGCUACACACGUGCUACAAUGGACAGAACAAAGGGCUGCGAGACCGCAAGGUUUAGCCAAUCCCACAAAUCUGUUCUACAGUUCGGAUCGCAGUACUGCAACUCGACUGCGUGAAGCUGGAAUCGG